rnacentral:rRNA from 1 species
UACGGAGGGAGCUAGCGUUGUUCGGAAUUACUGGGCGUAAAGCGCACGUAGGCGGCUUUUUAAGUCAGGGGUGAAAUCCCGGGGCUCAACCCCGGAACUGCCCCUUGAAACUGGAGAGCUAGAAUCUUGGAGAGGCGAGUGGAAUUCCGAGUGUAGAGGUGAAAUUCGUAGAUAUUCGGAAGAACACCGGUGGCGAAGGCGGCAUCCUGGACCGACAUUGACGCUGAUGAGCGAAAAG